GGAAGCUGCGAUCGAUGGGCGAUAACCUGUCUCGAAAACAGGCGUGCAGUUCAUGCUGUAGAGGUUCGAUUCCUCCAGUUUCCG
rnacentral:tRNA from 3 species